UUAGAAGUGAGAAUGCCGGUAUGAGUAGCGAAAGAGGGGUGAGAAUCCCCUCCACCGAAUGCCUAAGGUUUCCUGAGGAAGGCUCGUCCGCUCAGGGUUAGUCGGGACCUAAGCCGAGGCCGAAAGGCGUAGGCGAUGGACAACAGGUUGAUAUUCCUGUACCACCUCCUCACCAUUUGAGCAAUGGGGGGACGCAGGGGGAUAGGGUAAGCGCGGUAUUGGAUAUCCGCGUCCAAGCAGUUAGGCUGGGAAAUAGGCAAAUCCGUUUCCCAUAAGGCUGAGCUGUGAUGGCGAGCGAAAUAUAGUAGCGAAGUUCCUGAUUCCACACUGCCAAGAAAAGCCUCUAGCGAGGUGAGAGGUGCCCGUACCGCAAACCGACACAGGUAGGCGAGGAGAGAAUCCUAAGGUGAUCGAGAGAACUCUCGUUAAGGAACUCGGCAAAAUGACCCCGUAACUUCGGGAGAAGGGGUGCUCUGUUAGGGUGCAAGCCCGAGAGAGCCGCAGUGAAUAGGCCCAGGCGACUGUUUAGCAAAAACACAGGUCUCUGCGAAGCCGUAAGGCGAAGUAUAGGGGCUGACGCCUGCCCGGUGCUGGAAGGUUAAGAGGAGCGCUUAGCGUAAGCGAAGGUGCGAAUUGAAGCCCCAGUAAACGGCGGCCGUAACAAUAACGGUCCUAAGGUAGCGAAAUUCCUUGUCGGGUAAGUUCCGACCCGCACGAAAGGCGCAACGAUCUGGGCACUGUCUCAACGAGAGACUCGGUGAAAUUAUAGUACCUGUGAAGAUGCAGGUUACCCGCGACAGGACGGAAAGACCCCGUGGAGCUUUACUGCAGCCUGAUAUUGAAUGUUGGUACAGCUUGUACAGGAUAGGUAGGAGCCUUGGAAACCGGAGCGCCAGCUUCGGUGGAGGCAUCGGUGGGAUACUACCCUGGCUGUAUUGACCUUCUAACCCGCCGCCCUUAUCGGGCGGGGAGACAGUGUCAGGUGGGCAGUUUGACUGGGGCGGUCGCCUCCUAAAAGGUAACGGAGGCGCCCAAAGGUUCCCUCAGAAUGGUUGGAAAUCAUUCGCAGAGUGUAAAGGCACAAGGGAGCUUGACUGCGAGACCUACAAGUCGAGCAGGGACGAAAGUCGGGCUUAGUGAUCCGGUGGUUCCGCAUGGAAGGGCCAUCGCUCAACGGAUAAAAGCUACCCCGGGGAUAACAGGCUUAUCUCCCCCAAGAGUCCACAUCGACGGGGAGGUUUGGCACCUCGAUGUCGGCUCAUCGCAUCCUGGGGCUGUAGUCGGUCCCAAGGGUUGGGCUGUUCGCCCAUUAAAGCGGUACGCGAGCUGGGUUCAGAACGUCGUGAGACAGUUCGGUCCCUAUCCGUCGCGGGCGCAGGAAAUUUGAGAGGAGCUGUCCUUAGUACGAGAGGACCGGGAUGGACGCACCGCUGGUGUACCAGUUGUUCUGCCAAGGGCAUCGCUGGGUAGCUAUGUGCGGACGGGAUAAGUGCUGAAAGCAUCUAAGCAUGAAGCCCCCCUCAAGAUGAGAUUUCCCAUUCCGCAAGGAAGUAAGAUCCCUGAAAGAUGAUCAGGUUGAUAGGUCUGAGGUGGAAGUGUGGCGACACAUGGAGCUGACAGAUACUAAUCGAUCGAGG
rnacentral:rRNA from 1 species